rnacentral:lncRNA from 1 species
GCUUACAUACACUUUGCAGUCUGAUCAUCAGAUUGCCUUGAAGUUGAGCAGUCCCCAUCACCGUUAAGCUACAACUCAGUAUCUUCUUCACCACCUAAGAGGAAUUGGAUGGAACAGUAACUGCUUCAAGUGUUCUAUUAUUGAUAUAGUAAGCAUGUACCCACCUAACCCAUAGACAAUCUUUUUUUCUAGCCAAAUCCCAA